rnacentral:rRNA from 1 species
UACGGAGGGUGCAAGCGUUGCUCGGAAUUACUGGGCGUAAAGGGCGUGUAGGCGGUUUCGUAUGUCUGGCGUGAAAGCCCCGGGCUCACCUCUGGAAGUGCGUCGGAAACUGCGAGACUAGAGUCCCGGAGAGGGAGGUGGAAUUCCAGGUGUAGCGGUGAAAUGCGUAGAUAUCUGGAAGAACACCGGUGGCGAAGGCGGCUUCCUGGUCCAGCACCGACGUUCAGGCACGAAAGCGUGGGGAGCAAACAGG